CCGAGACUCCCAAGAGAAGAGGACCAACGGGGCGCUGCUGGAUCCAUGGUUCUAGGCAGAAAAAGCUGGUUUUCAGCUGGUGUCCGUCAAAGGAAUCAGGGCUUGUCUUCUUGCACAAGCAACAAGGAAGCUGCUCUGCACUCCCAGCCGGAUACGAGGCCUCUGCAACGCAGCAGCACUUCUAGAUCACGUCGGAGAACCCCUGCGUGGGACGGCAGACGCUCAGGACAGCAUACGGCGUCAGCGGGACUGCACUGAGGACCCAGGGGCUCAUGAACCUCUCACCGCCACCUGCCAAGCCUCAUGGUGGACCCGGAGCAACGCCAGGGAUGCUGCAGGA